rnacentral:rRNA from 1 species
GAUGAGCGCUGGCGGCGUGCCUAACACAUGCAAGUCGAGCGAAGCACCUUACUUGAUUUCUUCGGGAUGAAAGUAUUGUGACUGAGCGGCGACGGGUGAGUAACGCGUGGAUAACCUGCCCUGGAGUGGGGGAUAACAGUUGGAAACGACUGCUAAUACCGCAUAAGCCCACAGCACCGCAUGGUGCAGCGGGAAAAGGAGCAAUUCGCUUCAGGAUGGCCUCGCGUCCAAUUAGGUAGAUGGUGAGGUAACGGCCCACCAUGCCGACGAUUGGUAGCCGGACUGGAGAGGUUGAACGGCCACAUUGGGACUGAGACACGGCCCAG